rnacentral:ncRNA from 2 species
AUUGCUGGUGGCGCAAAGGGUGCCCGCAAGGGCUUAAUCGGGAAGUUUGCUGGCCGUCGCGAUGAAUCGGCAUCGAUUCGCGCGGCGCGCCCGACCAACACUGCUCCCGCAACUGUGACCGGGGAUGCGCCUCGCCAUUAUGCCAUUGGGGAUUUUUCCCCGAGAAGGCGGCGAUCAGCGUGAUGAUCCGGGAAGUCAGGAAACCGGCCUUUUGCGGUCGUUCCUU